rnacentral:rRNA from 1 species
UGAUCGGUACCUACCGGAAGAUCAUUUACUGAGGUUACCGGGGGCGAGUUUGCGGGAUGCAGGUGCUUGGCACUCCUCGGGUGCAUGUGCACGGCUCUCCUGCUCGUCUUCGUUCCUUCCAUCAACCCCUGUGCACUAUAAUAGGAUUAGAGAGAAGCGCGGCUAUUUAGGAUUUAGCCUAGUAGUUGUGGGUCCGCCCGCGGCGAAAGGUUAAUCUUGACUUGACGCGUGGUACCUCGAACUCCUUCAUUAUCACAAACCACUAUUUAUGUCUUGUCAGAAUGUUCAGUCCCUCGUGGACGCUAAAUACAAUACAACUUUCAACAACGGAUCUCUUGGCUCUCGCAUCGAUGAAGAACGCAGCGAAAUGCGAUAAGUAAUGUGAAUUGCAGAAUUCAGUGAAUCAUCGAAUCUUUGAACGCACCUUGCGCCCUUUCUCGGAAGGGCACGCCUGUUUGAGUGUCAUGUUCAUCUCAAUCCAACAGCUUUGUUGCUGUCCUGGAUUGGAUUUGGGAGUCUGCUGGCCCUUCUCGGGUCGGCUCUCCUUGAAUGCAUGAGUGAGUGUCUGGCUCGCGUUGCUGAUGUGAUAGUCUUUCAUCAUUGGCGACGCUUGCCUAAUGGGCUUGCUUUCGAACCGUCUUCUCAACGGAGACAAACUUUAUGACAAAUUUGACCUCAAAUCAGGUGGGACUACCCGCUGAACUUAACUCUUAUUAGGGGGGGAAGAAAGAAAAU